rnacentral:rRNA from 1 species
CAGCCGCCGCGGGAAUACGUAGGGUGCAAGCGUUAAUCGGAAUUACUGGGCGUAAAGCGUGCGCAGGCGGUCCGCUAAGACAGAUGUGAAAUCCCCGGGCUUAACCUGGGAACUGCAUUUGUGACUGGCGGGCUAGAGUAUGGCAGAGGGGGGUAGAAUUCCACGUGUAGCAGUGAAAUGCGUAGAGAUGUGGAGGAGUACCGAUGGCGAAGGCAGCCCCCUGGGCCAAUACUGACGCUCAUGCACGAAAGCGUGGGGAGCAAACAGGAUUAGAGACCCCUGUAGUCCCUGUCUCUUAUAC